CCGUUCUCCCUCUCUCUCCUCCCUCUCCCUCCAAGUCUGGCACCACUGAACGCAAACUGUUUUGCUUUGCUCCGGGAAGAGUGAAGACACAUAACGUGAAAUCCCGAGCUUUUUGCGUGGUGCAUUUAAAAUGCCUCCUUAUUUAUAUUACCCUCAUUCCCUCACCUCUCCCACCCCCUCACCAGUCCUUCCAAAUUUCCCUAGAAAUCUAUGUAAAGCAUGCGGAGGGGAAAACAUUUGCACAAAAAGUGAAGGAGCUCACCAAGGAGUUCCCAGUUUAGGUGAUCAAACCUGCCCUGCCACCAGGAGGUUGCAUGAGGGGUGACUGCAAGGAGGGGGUCUCACAGGCCCCAGGAGCUGAAGAGUCUGGACAAAGGAGCUCUGGAG